ACAGUCAUAUCACAUUGAAACAUUGGUUGUUAUACGAUCACCGAAGUUAAGCAACAUUAAGCUUGGUCAGUACUUAGAUGGGUGAUCACUUGUGAAUGCCAGUUGCUA